rnacentral:rRNA from 1 species
AGCGGGAAAAGCUCAAAUUUAAAAUCUGGCAGUCUUUGGCUGUCCGAGUUGUAGUCUGGAGAAGCGUCUUCCGCGCUGGACCGUGUACAAGUCUCCUGGAACGGAGCGUCAUAGAGGGUGAGAAUCCCGUCUUUGACACGGACUACCAGUGCUCUGUGAUGCGCUCUCAAAGAGUCGAGUUGUUUGGGAAUGCAGCUCAAAAUGGGUGGUAAAUUCCAUCUAAAGCUAAAUAUUGGCGAGAGACCGAUAGCGAACAAGUACCGUGAGGGAAAGAUGAAAAGCACUUUGGAAAGAGAGUUAAACAGUACGUGAAAUUGCUGAAAGGGAAACGCUUGAAGUCAGUCGCGUUUGCUAGAACUCAGCCUGGGUUUUCCUAGGUGCACUUUCUAGUAGACGGGCCAGCAUCAGUUUUGGUUGCGGGAUAAAGGCCAAGGGAAUGUGGCACCUUCGGGUGUGUUAUAGCCCUUGGUCACAUACCGUGGCUGGGACUGAGGAACUCAGCACGCGCAAGCUGUUGCUUAGGAUGCUGGCGUAAUGGCUUUAAACGACCCGUCUUGAAACACGGACCAAGGAGUCUAACAUGCCUGCGAGUGUUUGGGUGGAAAACCCGAGCGCGUAAUGAAAGUGAAAGUUGGGACCUCUGUCGUGGAGGGCACCGACGCCCGGACCAGACCUUCUGUGACGGAUCCGCGGUAGAGCAUGUAUGUUGGGACCCGAAAGAUGGUGAACUAUGCCUGAAUAGGGUGAAGCCAGAGGAAACUCUGGUGGAGGCUCGUAGCGAUUCUGACGUGCAAAUCGAUCGUCAAAUUUGGGUAUAGGGGCGAAAGACUAAUCGAACC